rnacentral:rRNA from 1 species
GACGAACGAUGGAGGCGUGCCUAAUACAUGCAAGUAGAACGCACAGUUUAUACCGUAGCUUGCUACACCAUAAACUGUGAGUUGCGAACGGGUGAGUAACGCGUAGGUAACCUGCCUGGUAGCGGGGGAUAACUAUUGGAAACGAUAGCUAAUACCGCAUAAUAUUGAUUAUUGCAUGAUAAUUGAUUGAAAGAUGCUAUUGCAUCACUACCAGAUGGACCUGCGUUGUAUUAGCUAGUAGGUGAGGUAACGGCUCACCUAGGCGACGAUACAUAGCCGACCUGAGAGGGGGAUCGGCCACACUGGGACUGAGACACGGCCCAGACUCCUACGGGAGGCAGCCGUAGGGAAUCUUCGGCAAUGGACGAAAGUCUGACCGAGCAACGCCGCGUGAGUGAAGAAGGUUUUCGGAUCGUAAAGCUCUGUUGUAAGAGAAGAACGGGUGUGAGAGUGGAAAGUUCACACUGUGACGGUAUCUUACCAGAAAGGGACGGCUAACUACGUG